rnacentral:rRNA from 1 species
UACGUAGGUGGCAAGCGUUGUCCGGAUUUACUGGGCGUAAAGGGCGUGCAGGCGGUUUGCUAAGUCUAGGGUGAAAGCUCCCGGCUUAACUGGGAGAGGUCCUUGGAUACUGGCAGACUUGAGGAGGGUAGAGGAGAGUGGAAUUCCCGGUGUAGCGGUGAAAUGCGCAGAUAUCGGGAGGAACACCGGUGGCGAAGGCGGCUCUCUGGACCUGUCCUGACGCUGAGGCGCGAAAGCUAGGGGAGCGAACAGG